CCUAAUAGAUUUGUUUGCUCGUUUUCAUUUAGGCAUCAUCAUGCAUACACCAUAAACAUGGUUUUGAUAAAUAAAUAUUAUAUUUAAUGUAAACCCUAUUUCCUUAUUUUCCUCUCAUAUGGUUCUAUAAGAGCCCUCUUUUAAUCUUUGCUUAUUUAACAAAACCCUCUAGUUCUUAUUGUAUUUAAAAUCCCAAAGAAAAAUAAAUAUUUUAAAGCCUUGCAAAAUUGUUUUACAAUAAAAACAAAGCUUUUCAAAUGUUUUGCAAAUUCUCCUCUCAUCCUCCUCUUUCUGCAAGAAAUUCGGAAGAAGCAGAAAUAUGCCAGGGAGCCAACAGGAUCAGACCAAGUCACCUUACUCCUCUCACAGUCGCUCCUCCACGCCAUCUCUCUUUCUCUCCUCCUAGCGUGUGGUCCUCCAUCUUAUCUUCUGGAUGUGGUGCGCUUCUUCUCCACGCCAAGUCUCCAGCUCCACCUGCUCCCUUUCUUUCCUCCUCUCCACGCCAACAAUCAAAGACCACCAUCAGCCAAUCCAGUUUCAGACACAGAAAACCAUCUCCAACCUCUCGCCGUCGAUCCGCCAACUCCGGCCACCCCCUGAUGAGCUGAGAGCACCACCAGAACCGCCUCGACGUCCUCUGUAUCCUCGUUCAAGUAAUCAAGCAGGGGGCGCCCCAACCGCCGCCAACGACCUUGCGUUCUUCUUCUACGCCGGCAGAAACUCGACGUUUCCGGCCGCCUCCGUCCACUUCCGGUACCCCCGACGUGUUCUGUAGCUUCCUGGUGAGGUCCCCGUCCUUUACUCUUUUCCCCCGUUGCAUCUGACCAUGUUUCUGCAUCGCCUAAAUCUGACGAAAACGGACGGCUUUUCUUUUUCCGUCCGAGGUCGCCACCAUGUCCGCUGUCUACGUCUUCGGCCAUGUCCGCGCACACGCCAAGGACUCCAAACACGUAUGCUCCCUCUCCUGGCCUCCUCCUGGGUAUGAAGAUAUGGUCGAUGAAGAUGACGUUAGCAAGGUUACCCUUCCGGCUUGGCCUGGGCAGGGUUAUGGACGCCACUUGGUUAUCUUCAGGACUCUUAGUCCAAAUUUGUAUCUUGUCCGUACUCGGAUGUAUUUGAUCUUCUGUAUGAUUUGGAUCUUUGUAUGUAUCUAUUUGUAUCUUGACUCGUUCGAGUCGUUGUUGUAAUAUAUAUGUUUCUUGUGGGCUCUAUUGUAAUCCUGUUGUAAUGUUACUGCUCGUGAUUGAUUCCACCCGCAUCGCGUGCAUGCUUCGGCGUGUACGAGGCGCUUGGUGGUGCGUCUCCUAGAAUCGAUAUCGUGCGGAUUUCAGCGGAUUCGCUGGGAUCCUCAUGGUACCGGUUUUGGGGCGUCACAAGUUGGUAUCAGAGCCUCAGGUUGACGGUACCCCACUAGUCCAGCCUUUAGGAUAACCUUGCCAACGGUCGUUGAGUUUAGAGUGUCAAAACUAUUUUUCAAAAUUCGUUGGAUAGUUCUGAUUAGCUCUAUUUUUCUCCUUACCUAUAUUCUUUCUCCUCUUACCUAUGCGAGUUUUGAGUCUUCUCUCUUAUCUGAGUUUUCCGAGUCUUAGGUUCCGACGUGGAUUGGACGAUCUUUGCCCCUCACCUAUCAGGUCCGAUCUUCAGAGGCCUCGACGAGAGCGCAUCAUCGACAACGGAACAACGACUUCUUGUUAGUGGUGUCGCCGAUCAACACGGAGCAACAACUCUUGUUAGUGGUGUCGAGAAGAUCGACACGUCGCGCGAAGACCCGAUAGCUCACCUCUCUCCCCUGUACCUGGACGUGGAAUCUCGGGGCGAGAUUCCUUGUUAGUGGUGUCGAUUGUAACGGCCCAUGGUAGUACCCCUAAUAGAUUUGUUUGCUCGUUUUCAUUUAGGCAUCAUCAUGCAUACACCAUAAACAUGGUUUUGAUAAAUAAAUAUUAUAUUUAAUGUAAACCCUAUUUCCUUAUUUUCCUCUCAUAUGGUUCUAUAAGAGCCCUCUUUUAAUCUUUGCUUAUUUAACAAAACCCUCUAGUUCUUAUUGUAUUUAAAAUCCCAAAGAAAAAUAAAUAUUUUAAAGCCUUGCAAAAUUGUUUUACAAUAAAAACAAAGCUUUUCAAAUGUUUUGCAAAUUCUCCUCUCAUCCUCCUCUUUCUGCAAGAAAUUCGGAAGAAGCAGAAAUAUGCCAGGGAGCCAACAGGAUCAGACCAAGUCACCUUACUCCUCUCACAGUCGCUCCUCCACGCCAUCUCUCUUUCUCUCCUCCUAGCGUGUGGUCCUCCAUCUUAUCUUCUGGAUGUGGUGCGCUUCUUCUCCACGCCAAGUCUCCAGCUCCACCUGCUCCCUUUCUUUCCUCCUCUCCACGCCAACAAUCAAAGACCACCAUCAGCCAAUCCAGUUUCAGACACAGAAAACCAUCUCCAACCUCUCGCCGUCGAUCCGCCAACUCCGGCCACCCCCUGAUGAGCUGAGAGCACCACCAGAACCGCCUCGACGUCCUCUGUAUCCUCGUUCAAGUAAUCAAGCAGGGGGCGCCCCAACCGCCGCCAACGACCUUGCGUUCUUCUUCUACGCCGGCAGAAACUCGACGUUUCCGGCCGCCUCCGUCCACUUCCGGUACCCCCGACGUGUUCUGUAGCUUCCUGGUGAGGUCCCCGUCCUUUACUCUUUUCCCCCGUUGCAUCUGACCAUGUUUCUGCAUCGCCUAAAUCUGACGAAAACGGACGGCUUUUCUUUUUCCGUCCGAGGUCGCCACCAUGUCCGCUGUCUACGUCUUCGGCCAUGUCCGCGCACACGCCAAGGACUCCAAACACGUAUGCUCCCUCUCCUGGCCUCCUCCUGGGAUCACAGGAGGCACGACGUACACGAUGCCGUAGGUAGGUUUGGGCGCUGCUGUUGUCUGAUUGUUCACUUGUGCUUUCAGUAUAACGACGAUUUGGUCGCUGGAUCCCUUAUUAAUUGGUGCUGCUACUGCAAGGAAAGGCAACCUUCCUCGUUCUUGAUGUGAUCGAUGCCGAAGAGCGCUUUGUUGGUGGACACGCGGUUGAUCUGAACUAGGCCUACGUUUCUGAAGAUGACGAUCAGUUUUCUUCCUUGUGAUGAAGUUGUACAAGCUAGUUGUCGUGCUGAACACACUGGUUUCGCGUGCGUAUGGGUGGACAGAGGUGGAAGCAAAUGGCAAUGGCGCCGCCCGAUGACGCGCAUGGGCGUCAUGAGGACGUCGGUGCCGGGGACGAUCACAACGUCGAUGAUGGUGAGCAGAACGUGUACUAUCGCGAAGCAGCCGACGAUGGGGUCAAGUACAUGCACACCGGUUGUGGACGCGUUCGAUCGAGGUCGCUUUUUUGCGGUCUCGGGGGCCCGCGGCCGCGGCCGCGCCGGCGUCAGCCGCGGGUUCGUGGGCAUGCCGGUCACGGCGAGACUGAUGUACCAGAACGCCAGGGGGCGGAUGGUGGCGGCCGAGGGCGUGGGAGCAAGGAGCAGGGUUAACGAGGUCGCGGCGAAGGCACACGCAUCUGCAGCGGCGCGGGUGAUGACGGGCAUGCCAUGCCGAAGGAGGGAACGGCGGCACUCAAGAACAGAGACGACGGCGAUCGGUAAAGUUAAAAUUGCACGUAGUUUACCCGCAAUGAUAAAUAAAAAUUGCAAGUAGUUUAACCGCAAAAAUAAAAUAGAAAUUGAACGUAGUUACGGAUCUGUACACGAAUGUACAUACGGAGCAGUAAAUAUUGAUGUAUGACAACUGAAAUCGUUCA